rnacentral:rRNA from 1 species
ACGGAAGGCAGCAGUGAGGAAUAUUGGUCAAUGGACGGAAGUCUGAACCAGCCAAGUCGCGUGAAGGAUGAAGGUAUUAUGUAUUGUAAACUUCUUUAGCAGUGGAGUAAUAAGGGGAUCGCGAUCCCUGAUGCAAGUACACUGAGAAUAAGGAUCGGCUAACUCCGUGCCAGCAGCCGCGGUAAUACGGAGGAUCCGAGCGUUAUCCGGAUUUAUUGGGUUUAAAGGGAGCGUAGGCGGGAAGUCAAGUCAGCUGUGAAAUGUAGUCGCUCAACGUCUGCACUGCAGUUGAAACUGGUUUUCUUGAGUGCGUAAGAGGCAGGUGGAAUUUGUCGUGUAGCGGUGAAAUGCUUAGAUAUGACGAAGAACUCCGAUUGCGAAGGCAGCCUGCUGGGCCGCAACUGACGCUGAAGCUCGAAGGUGCGGGUAUCAAACAGGAUUAGAUACCCUGGUA